AGAACGAACGCUGGCGGCAUGCCUAACACAUGCAAGUCGAACGCGUGUAGCGAUACACGAGUGGCGGACGGGUGAGUAACGCGUGGGAACCUGCCCUGGAGUGGGGGAUAACCGAUGGAAACGUCGGCUAAUACCGCAUACGACCUGAGGGUGAAAGAUUUAUCGCUCUAGGAGGGGCCCGCGUCGGAUUAGCUAGUUGGUGAGGUAACGGCUCACCAAGGCGAUGAUCCGUAGCUGGUCUGAGAGGAUGAUCAGCCACACUGGGACUGAGACACGGCCCAGACUCCUACGGGAGGCAGCAGUGGGGAAUAUUGGACAAUGGGGGCAACCCUGAUCCAGCAAUGCCGCGUGAGUGAUGAAGGCCUUAGGGUUGUAAAGCUCUUUCGGCGGGACGAUGAUGACGGUACCCGCAGAAGAAGCCCCGGCUAACUUCGCGCCAGCAGCCGC
rnacentral:rRNA from 1 species